UCCGGGGCAACAGGCUGGAGCAGACUGGUCACCCGUGGGAAUGCGCCUCCUGAGUCAGCGGGGCCUGCAUGGCCCCGGGGCACGGCCCGGGUCUCCUGGGGGGCCCCUCACAGGCGCCUUUGAUCACGGAGGACGCCCCUGCGCCAUCAGGGGCUGAGGGCUGGAACCGCAGGCUGGAGGCGGCUUGUUCUGAGCCACAUUAGGUCCCUGCAAAGUGUCAACUUUUAGGACUUUCCGUUGGGCUGCGGCUGUUGGUAUAAAGCGUUUCGGGUACGGACGUUCCAGACCGUUAGUCAAUCUACACGUGACCAUCGGACAGAGGCCGGAGACGCCGGUUCCAGAAUCCACUCCGAUUUGCUGCAUAGAUUGGGACGGUCACUUGAUCUGGAAAAUCAAAAUCACUGCUGCCCUACCUGUACCACCGGGCUGUGCUGAGACCCACGUGACACGGCACUAAACGGCAGGGAGCCGGUUGGCCUGCAGCUGGGCCUUAGCAGCCCGGCUCCUCCUGGUUGUUCUCCUGCUCGGGGGUGUCUGACCAGCCCAGCCUCGGGGGCGGGUGCGAUUUUACUGAGAGAAAUGGCUGGAUUUCUGAUCUCCGACAAACGGGAGGCACGCCCCGGGGAGCCCGCGCUGUGGGCCGCGGCAUCCCGCCACCCCUGCCCCGUCUGGGGCCUCCCCCCAUGUCCACCCUUGGUGGACUAGGCUCUCAUUUCAUCGGGGGCGGGGAGGGGGGUGAGGGCUUCCCUACCCAGGGCCUCCCAGUCUUCCAUGGUGCAGUUAGCGAGCUCUUCCUCGCUGGGGGCUCCCGUUCGUGAGGGGCGCCGCCCGGUGCAGGGCCCUUGGGACGGUGAAGAGUUGCACCUAUGGGACCAGAAGAGGAGCCGGAGGGCCCGGGAGGUCAAAGCCCCCGACGGUGAGGACCACAGUACGGCGCGGAGGGAGAAGGAGAGGGGAUGACACCGGCCCAAUGGUGCCUGUGCUGGACCCAGUCUCCUUCCCAAGGAUUUUUGGCAGGAACAAUGCAAACUUACGGCCGAUUUACGGGGGUGGCCUGCAUUCCCGUUCCUUGUGCAUUGGCGUGUAGCCGCUGUUGCACCAGCUCAGGCUCCGGAUGGCUACACAAGGGAAGACAGCCGCGAGGCCCGGUGCCCAGGAGCUCCGCACUCAGGUCCAAGCAGGGCAGGGCCCCAGGACAUUGGCGGGGAGAGUGAACGUAAAGGGAUGUGUCUCUGGAGCAUGAGGCUGGUCUUGAGGACCUGACGUAGGGGAAGGGAGCCAAGUCCGGAACGUCCCCAGCUUUCCCUCCCUUCCCCUACUCUCCAGGGGAAGGCUUCGGCUCAGUAUAGGAAAGAACUUUGUGUAAGUCGAGACACCUGGACGUGGCCAAGAAGCAGACACUGGCCAGUCGCAGGAAGGAGCCCGUGGCGGGGACGCAGACGCAGACGGGGGUUGCCUUGAAUGCUCUCCGCCCAGGUCCCGGAGGCCCUGACGGAGCCCAAGGACGGGCUGCGCAGAGUCACGACCCCGAGCUAGCUGACGCCCGCUCCGCAGCACGCCCGGAGCUCCUCUGUCGUGAAAAUACCCUUUAGGGCUGUUGUGCUGGAUCUUUCUCAACAGCAAUAAGCCUUUGAGGCUGUAAAGUUCCACUUCCCUCUGGUUUUGCUGGGAGGGCAAGAUGGCCCACGUCUGUCAUCCUGGUUUCUGACUAGCCCCCUUUUUUUUCAUGAUCCUUAUUCCUUCUUUAUUCUCAGUUUGUUGCUCUUGGCACAAGAAUUUGUGUGGAUGUGUUCAUAGCAGUCACCCUCUGCCUUGAGAAGCAUGUGGAAUGUUUUAGGGAUAUUUUUAUGAAGUCUUGGGCCAUGUUUUUUAUGGCUGGAAAUUAACCAGAGAACUGCAAAAAAAUACAGGCCCGCUUCCUUAGGCUUCAGGGCCUGAGGAUGAGUCCUUCGCGCCUCCUACUCCCGUGUUCCCGUCUCUGGGCCAGGGGCGCUCCUUGGAUCCGAUCCUUCUUCCCUGAUGGGAUGCUGGGGUUCCCUGCAGCUCCGUGCUCUUCUUGCCCAGUCUCAGGCCCUCUUCUCACCUCCUAGAUCUUGUCAUUCUCCUUGACCCCCAUCGCUUCAGUCCUUGCCUCGCCCCCACACCCCAUAUUCCUUCCAUCAGAAAUCCUCGCUCCUGCAGCUGAAGUUACCUGCUCAUCACGGAGUUCACACAUGCUUCCUGUAAGGACGCCUGGAGGUCACGGAUACUGGGUGGGGUUGGGGUGUGGGCUUCGUUCAUUCUGCGACGGUGUCAGCCGUUCGGGCUGCUGUUCCUCUUGAGAGAUGAGCCCCCGAUGUGGUGACCCCCGGGGAGCACCCUUCUGCUCAGCCGUGCUCGUAGAGUCUGGGUCUGUUUCCACAUUUUAAUCACUCUGAUCAUUCCUUUCAGGCUCCAAAGCAAAGACGUGUUUCCGGUGCGUUUCAUUAUGAGACUUAAAAUGCUAAAGCCCGAGGUAAAUGGUUUGAAUCUCAAACAUGAUUCUGGGGAAUUGUGUUUGUGGUGCUCUGACCCCACGGUAACCCAGCCAGUGUCGGGAGAGGCACCGAGGACAGGAGAACUGGGGUGACGGCUUCCUGCCUCCAGGCGCCCAGGGCCAGGCAUGGAGACCGCCGCUGGGGUGGUAGGAACUGAAUGGGGGGGGCUGUGGGGACACCGGGGGGGCCAGCGGGGAUGGCCGUGGGGCUGAGAAGUGGGGUCUCAGGGCGUGGGGAAGUACAAGGGUCAUCCUCGUCUAGGAAGACAGGAACAGCAAGAGGCGCUGCAGGGGGCCGUGAGAGGAGUGCUAGGUGUGGGCCCGGGAGCAGCUGGGUGGAGGUGGAGGGCCAGGGGCCGGCAGUGACGGGCAGACGGGAGGUCGGCUCCUUUCCUCUCGGGGCUUCUCACCAGGCACCACGUGCAGGUUGGGGGUGAUGACAGUCUGACCUCGUCCCCCCGUCCUUCUAUAGGGGCCCCGCCCACCGACUCCCUGUGAGAUGCUCUGAAAGGUCUGUGUGAGUCUCUACGUUUCUGGCCCCAAAAUGAAGGCCCAACAGGACAAGCGAGGGACGGGCCGCAAAAGAUGCCGGUGGGGGAUUUCACGAUGAUGUGGAUGGGAGCGGCUUGAGUGUCUGUGACACCAGCAGGAUGCAGGUUGGCGCUGCAGCCCGCCCCCCGCCCACGUGACAGGUGCCCAGCUGGCGUCCAGGCCACAGCUGACUGGACUCUGCGGUCACCCCCCACCUGCCCCAGCAGAACCCACGCUCUCUGGGGCAUCCCCGCAGGACACGCGUGCCGCACGCAGGGCAGGAGGGGUGGGGGGGCUCACCGUCCCCUCACCACCAAACGUGGCCCUGGGUGCCACCCGUGGGCCGCUGCCGUGCUCCUGCCGCCUGCCAGCUUCCGUGGGCAGGUCCUUGUGCAACCCGUGUCAUCCUCAGGGGCACAGGAAGCUCCUACGGACCCCCUGGCUUCCAUCUCCCAGGGCAGAGUGGCCUGUGGUCCAGCCUUCCCUCCACGUUGGGCCUCAAGGCUUAGAGCCGUGUUCGUCUGACUGUUCUAGGUGGUUCUACAGACCCAAGACCUCCUGGUGGUCACAGCCGUGGGAGGAGGCAGAAGGAAUGGGGCCAAGGAGCAUAAGCCCUACGGCCCUCUGAGACCCUGCCUCUGCUAGUGCUCAGCGAGGGCAGGGGCAGGAAGGCCCACGGCCACCCCCGGCUGCUCCCUGCCCCGGGCCAAGGGACCAAUCCGCCCGAGUCCAUUCUGACGCCGCCGAGCUGUGUCCCCUAGACUUUGGGGGCCCCGUAGUUCAGAUUCAUCUUUGAAACGUCCGAUGCUUGGCUUUCCAAGGUUCUUCGGCCAGAGACUCAAAGUGGAGAAGCGACCACUUCUUAAAAGAAAUGCUAAAAAACAAAAAAACAAAAAAAAAAAGAAAUGGUUUCCUUUUUAUUUAACAAAGUAAACGGGGAGAAGAAGCAUCUUUAAUAUUUGCAAAAGCCUCAAAAAAAUUUCACCAGCUAGAGACACAAAAGGAAACGAGUCGUCAGGCCUGGGGAACCUCUCCUCGAUUAUGGGACGUUUUCAGAUUUAAAUCCUACAUACCUGAGUUUUAUCUGGUUGCAGAUGUCCCAAACAAUAGGGUUUCCGGUUUCUUCAUGGAUAUUUUGUUUAAUGUUCUUAAAGAAGUCUGGGACGGACUCUUGACACCCUGUCUUUUUGUCCAAAAAAAAAAAAAAAAAAAGUAAAAGUAUUUUGUCUUUAACGUUUUUAAAAAUCGCUCAAGUUACCAGAAACUGAUAUAACACUGUAUGUUAAUUAUACUUGAAUUGAAACAAGCUCUGAUUCAAUUUUAAAAAGGAUUCCCAUUAUAGAUCUCAAAAAUUAACUGCUUUUUUUUGGAUAACCACGUUGGCAUCCCCCCACCCCCACCCCCCGGCUGCAUAGCCUUGCUUUGCCUUUUUGUGAGCAUAUGCAAGAAAUGUUUUUUCUUGUAAUUCUUUUGAAAGUGUUAAUUCUGUCUUUAAUACUGUCACUGGGCUUCUGUUGAAUAUAUGUGUUUACCGCA